rnacentral:rRNA from 1 species
CCCUUAGAUGUUCUGGGCUGCACGCGCGCUACACUGAUGCGCUCAACGAGUUUUGACCUUGCCCGGCAGGGUUGGGUAAUCUUUUUAAAACGCAUCGUGAUGGGGAUAGAUUAUUGCAAUUAUUAAUCUUCAACGAGGAAUUCCUAGUAAACGCAGAUCAUCAAUCUGCAUUGAUUACGUCCCUGCCCUUUGUACACACCGCCCGUCGCACCUACCGAUUGGAUGGUCCGGUGAAGCCUCGGGAUUGUGGUUCUUGCCGCUUUAUUGUAGCGUGACCGCGAGAACUUGUCUAAACCUUAUCAUCUAGAGGAAGGUGAAGUCGUAACA